rnacentral:antisense_RNA from 1 species
UUAAAGUUCUGUUUUAUUGAGAACCACAAAAGGUAAGAACUAAGAGAGUCCUCCCAGGUCAUCAGGUCCCAUCCCUUGGUCUAAGGAUGGCGAAACCAUUGUCACAGCCAGCAGCUGCCGUGUUCUGGGACUGUCUCAUGGGGCAAUGUGUCCUCACCCCCAGCAGUGCCAGCCCAGGUCAGAAGGCUUCAUUCAGAAGGGGGGUGUCCCAGCCACUGUCUGCUGUCACUCACAGCACCUGGCUGAGCCCCCAUGGAGGAUGGAGACCCACAGAUACACACACACACACAGAGACAUCUCCAAAUCUCUGACUCAGACUCACACACAGGCACACACAGACACACGCUCAACACAGACACACGCAGGCCUUUAUUCUAUUACACAGAGUAGGGCUGGGGAGCAGGGACGUAGUGCGGCUCGGAGCAGUGGGAGUUUGGUGGCGUGUGUGGAGGGGACAUGACACACUCAGCCCAGCAG